rnacentral:tRNA from 1 species
AGCGGGAUACCUGAAUAAGGCCCUACUGUGAUAAGGUAGACUUCGUACCACUAAUACUCCCGCU